GGUGACAAAACAAGCAUCUUUGAGUUAGAGACAGGACUGAUAUGCAUCUCACAUUCAGCUUGUCACUGAAUCAACACUGAAUCGAGACUGAAUCAACACAUCUCAUCUGCUACCCAUCUCACAUUCCGCUUGUCACUGAAUCAACACAUCUCAUCUGCUACCCAUCUCACAUUCCGCUUGUCACUGAAUCAACACAUCUCACCUGCUACCCAUCUCACAUUCCGCUUGUCACUGAAUCAACACAUCUCACCUGCUACCCAUCUCACAUUCAGCUUGUCACUGAAUCAACACAUCUCACCUGCUACCCAUCUCACAUUCAGCUUGUCACUGAAUCAACACAUCUCACCUGCUACCCAUCUCACAUUCAGCUUGUCACUGAAUCAACACAUCUCACCUGCUACCCAUCUCACAUUCAGCUUGUCACUGAAUCAAAACUGAAUCAACAAUGAAUCAACACAAUUCACACGUGCAUCAGUUCACUCACUCAUUCAUCAGCACUGUAGAAUGGACCUUGAUAAUGAUAGCAAAUAAGAUAUUUAUGAAAACCCUCAUCUUACUGCAGCUAAAGACAUGUGAGUGGGCUGGGAAGGUAAGGCCACUGGAGAGAGAGAGGCCACCCACAGGUGGUUACUAUUUAUAGGGGUAUAUUGUAAGUAAGAUGAAACUCAAGGGGUAAGGGCAUAGGGUAUAUCCCAAAUGUCCCCCUAUUCUCUAUAUACUGCACUGCUUUUGGCCAGAACCCUAUGGGCCCUGGUUUAAAAUGAAUACACACUAAAUAGAAUAGGGCUGCCAUUGGGGACUCAGCCAGGGUCUUUACGGAAAAUACAGCGGAGAAAAGUGGCUUCUGAGUUAGUGAAAAGGAAAAGGUCAGAGGAAUCUAAUUGAAUGACUAAAAAAUCAACUGUAGUAGAAAUAUACACUGGGCUUCUAUGGACAGGGUACAGGGUAGGUACAUGGCUCUAGUUACAGUGACUAUGGACAGGGUACAGGGUAGGUACAUGGCUCUAGUCAGUGACUAUGGACAGGGUACAGGGUAGGUACAUGGCUCUAGUCAGUGACUAUGGACAGGGUACAGGGUAGGUACAUGGCUCUAGUUACAGUGAUAAUGGACAGGGUACAGGGUAGGUACAUGGCUCUAGUUACAGUGACUAUGGACAGGGUACAGGGUAGGUACAUGGCUCUAGUUACAGUGACUAUGGACAGGGUACAGGGUAGGUACAUGGCUCUAGUCAGUGACUAUGGACAGGGUACAGGGUAGGUACAUGGCUCUAGUCAGUGACUAUGGACAGGGUACAGGGUAGGUACAUGGCUCUAGUUACAGUGACUAUGGACAGGGUACAGGGUAGGUACAUGGCUCUAGUUACAGUGACUAUGGACAGGGUACAGGGUAGGUACAUGGCUCUAGUCAGUGACUAUGGACAGGGUACAGGGUAGGUACAUGGCUCUAGUCAGUGACUAUGGACAGGGUACAGGGUAGGUACAUGGCUCUAGUCAGUGACUAUGGACAGGGUACAGGGUAGGUACAUGGCUCUAGUCAGUGACUAUGGACAGGGUACAGGGUAGGUACAUGGCUCUAGUCAGUGACUAUGGACAGAUAUUGCCCUAUUCCCUUAUACCCUAUUCCCUUAUACCCUAUUCCCUACUUACUGUACCCUAUCCCCUAUCCCCUAUUCACCGUACCCUAUUCCCUAUUCCCUAUUCCCUGCUACUGCACACCAAAGGGUCAAUCUGACUUCAAUCUAGACUCUCGACAGACAGCAAUUUCUGACACUCCAUGAUAUAUUCUGAUCAACUGGCUUGUUCUUGUGUCAUUACAACAGAUCAAAGACAUUUGAACAAAUUCGUAGUUAGUAAGUUUUGCAUUUAUAGGGCAGUAUACAGUGCACUACUUUUUACCAGUGCCCAUACCUAUACAGUGCACUACUUUUUACCAGGGCCCAUACCUAUAUAGUGCACUACUUUUUACCAGUGCCCAUACCUAUAUAGUGCACUACUUUUUACCAGUGCCCAUACCUAUAUAGUGCACUACUUUUUACCAGUGCCCAUACCUAUACAGUGCACUACUUUUUACCAGUGCCCAUACCUAUAUAGUGCACUACUUUUUACCAGUGCCCAUACCUAUAUAGUGCACUACUUUUUACCAGGGCCCAUACCUAUAUAGUGCACUACUUUUUACCAGGGCCCAUACAUAUACAGUGCACUACUUUUUACCAGUGCCCAUACCUAUAUAGUGCACUACUUUUUACCAGGGCCCAUACCUAUAUAGUGCACUACUUUUUACCAGUGCCCAUACCUAUACAGUGCACUACUUUUUACCAGUGCCCAUACCUAUAUAGUGCACUACUUUUUACCAGUGCCCAUACCUAUAUAGUGCACUACUUUUUACCAGUGCCCAUACCUAUAUAGUGCACUACUUUUUACCAGUGCCCAUACCUAUACAGUGCACUACUUUUUACCAGUGCCCAUACCUAUAUAGUGCACUACUUUUUACCAGGGCCCAUACCUAUAUAGUGCACUACUUUUUACCAGUGCCCAUACCUAUAUAGUGCAUUACUUUUGACCAGUGCCCAUACCUAUAUAGUGCAUUACUUUUGACCAGUGCCCAUACCUAUAUAGUGCACUACUUUUGACCAGUGCCCAUAGGGAACAAGGUGCCAUUUCGGAUGCAGACAGAUAAAUCAGUCAGAAGGUGACUAGGGAGGGGUGUAGGAGCUAAGUCCCUGCCUGAAUACUAACACAGCUCACUGACAGAUAGAGAAAUUAGUCAGAAGGUGACUAGGGAGAGGUUUAGGAGCUAAGUCCCUGCCUGAAUACUAACACAGCUCACUGACAGGCAGAGAGACAGGCAGAGAGAAGUAGAGAGGUAGAGACAGGUAGAGAGACGGGUAGAGAUGGGUAUAGAGACAGGUAGAUUGGUAGAGAGACAGUUAGAGAUGGGUAUAGAGACAGGUAGAGAGGUAGAGAGACAGUUAGAGAUGGGUAUAGAGAGAGGUAGAGAGGCAGGUAGAGAGACAUGUAGAGAUGGGUAUAGAGACAGGUAGAUUGGUAGAGAGACAGUUAGAGAUGGGUAUAGAGAGAGGUAGAGAGACGGGUAGAGAUGGGUAUAGAGACAGGUAGAUUGGUAGAGAGACAGUUAGAGAUGGGUAUAGAGACAGGUAGAGAGGUAGAGAGACAGUUAGAGAUGGGUAUAGAGACUGGUAGAGAGGUAGAGAGGCAGGUAGAGAGGUAGAGAGGCAGGUAGAGAGACAUGUAGAGAUGGGUAUAGAGACAGGUAGAUUGGUAGAGAGACAGUUAGAGAUGGGUAUAGAGACAGGUAGAUUGGUAGAGAGACAGUUAGAGAUGGGUAUAGAGAGAGGUAGAGAGACGGUUAGAGAUGGGUAUAGAGACAGGUAGAGAGGUAGAGAGACAGGUAGAGAUGGGUAUAGAGACAGGUAGAGAGGUAGAGAGAGGUAGAGAGGUAGAGAGAGAGGUAGAGACAGGUAGAGAGGUAGAGAGAGAGGUAGAGAGAGAGGUAGAGACAGGUAGAGACAGGUAGAGAGGUAGAGAGAGAGGUAGAGACAGAUAGAGAGGUAGAAAGAGAGGUAGAGAGAGAGGUAGAGAGGUAGAGAGAGAGGUAGAGAGGUAGAGACAGGUAGAGAGGUAGAGAGGUAGAGAGAGGUAUAUAUUAUAUAUUCACUUUGUAUGUUGUCUACCUCACUUGCUUUGGCAAUGUUAACACAUGUUUCCCAUGCCAAUAAAGCCCUUGAAUUGAAUCAAAUUGGUAGAGACAGAUAGAGAGGUAGAGACAGGUAGAGAGGUAGAGAGAGAGGUAGAGAGGUAGAGACAGAUAGAGAGAUAGAGAGGUAGAGACAGUUAGAGAGGUAGAGAGAGGGGUAGAGAGGUAGAGAGAGAGGUAGAGAGGUAGAGAGAGAGGUAGAGAGGUAGAGACAGAUAGAGAGGUAGAGACAGAUAGAGAGGUAGAGACAGAUAGAGAGGUAGAGACAGGUAGAGAGGUAGAGAGAGAUAGAGAGGUAGAGAGAGGUAGAGACAGAUAGAGAGGUAGAGACAGAUAGAGAGGUAGGAGAGGUAGAGGUAGAGAGAGGUAGAGAGAGAGGUAGAGACAGAUAGAGAGGUAGAGAGAGGUAGAGAGGUAGAGACAGAUAGAGAGGUAGAGAGGUAGAGACAGAUAGAGAGGUAGAGACAGGUAGAGAGGUAGAGACAGGUAGAGAGGUAGAGAGAGAUAGAGAGGUAGAGAGAGGUAGAGACAGAUAGAGAGGUAGGAGAGGUAGAGACAGAGAGAGGUAGAGAGAGAGGUAGAGACAGAUAGAGAGGUAGAGAGAGGUAGAGAGAGAGGUAGAGAGGUAGAGACAGAUAGAGAGGUAGAGAGAGAGGUAGAGAGGUAGAGACAGAUAGAGAGGUAGAGAGGUAGACAGAUAGAGAGGUAGAGAGGUAGACAGAUAGAGAGGUGGAGACAGAUAGAGAGGUAGAGAGGUAGAGACAGGUAGAGAGGUAGAGAGGUAGAGAGAGGUAGAGACAGAUAGAGAGGUAGGAGAGGUAGAGACAGAUAGAGAGGUAGAGAGAGAGGUAGAGACAGAUAGAGAGGUAGAGAGAGGUAGAGAGGUGGAGACAGAUAGAGGUAGAGACAGAUAGAGAGGUAGAGAGGUAGAGACAGAUAGAGAGGUAGAGAGGUAGAGACAGAUAGAGAGGUAGAGACAGAUAGAGAGGUAGAGAGGUAGAGAGGUAGAGAGAGAUAGAGAGGUAGAGAGAGAUAGAUAGAGAGGUAGAGAGGUAGAUAGAGGUAGAGACAGAUAGAGAGGUAGAGAGGUAGAGACAGAUAGAGAGGUAGAGAGAGAUAGAGAGGUAGAGAGAGAGGUAGAGAGAGGUAGAGAGAGAUAGAGAGGUAGAGAGAGGUAGAGACAGAUAGAGAGGUAGAGAUUGAUUAAAGGAUGGAUCAGUUAAACAUAAACUGAUCCAAACGCUAACGACUAACCAGUCACCUGUGGCGAAAGAGACAGAGCAAGAGAAAGAAAGAAAGACAGGGGCUUCUCACGGCCAUCUGGAGAGAAAAUACGAAGGAUAGACAGACAGGAGAAGGAGGGAGGUGUGACUGAAAGAAAGGGGGAGACAGCACCUGGAUAAAGAGAAUGUGAAUGAGUCAGUGAGAGAGAGGAAGGAGUGUAGGGAUGGAGGAAGAGAAUGGUUGGGGAUGGUGCGUUAGCUGGGAUUAAUAUUACAUGCACUGUAUUCCAGUACAGCCUGAUUGUGUGAUGCUGUUGCUUCAGCCUCCAGGGCAGUCAGU